rnacentral:lncRNA from 1 species
UGGAUACCCUGAACAGACCAAUAACAAGCAGCAAGAUUGAAAUGGUAAUUUUAAAAUUACCAACAAAAAAAAGUCCAGGACCAGAAGGAUUCACAGCAGAAUUCUACCAGACAUUCAAAGAAGAAUUGGUACCAAUCCUUUUGACACUAUUCCACAAGAUAGAGAAAGAAGGAACCCUCCCUAAUUCAUUCUAUGAAGCUCCCAUCAUCCUAAUACCAAAACCAGGAAAUGACAUAACCAGAAAAGUCGCUUUAUCAUUAAAACCCUCAGGAAAACCGGCAUACAAGGGACAUACCUUAACAUAAUAAAAGCCAUCUAUGACAAACCCAUAGCCAACAUAAUACUGAAUGGGGAAAAGUUCAAAGCAUUCCCUCUGAGAACGGGAACAAGACUAGGAUGCCUACUCUCACCACUUGUCUUCAAUAUAGUACUGAAAGUCCUAGUCAAAGCAAUCAGACAAGAGAAAGAAAUAAAGGGUGUCCAACUCGGUAAAGAGGAAGUCAAACUGUCACUGUUUGCUGAUAGACCAAGGGAACAGAAUAGAGAACCCAGAAAUAAUCCAAAAUAAUCCCAAAUACUUACAGUCAACUGAUCUUCGACAAAGCAAACAAAAACCUAAAGUGGGGAAAGGACACCCUUUUCAACAAAUGGUGCUGGGAUAAUUGGCUAGCCACAUGUAGGAGAAUGAAACUGGAUCCUCAUCUCUCACCUUAUACAAAAAUCAACUCAAGAUGGAUUAAGGAUUUAAACCUACGACCUGAAGGUAUAAAAAGU